UAUCCAAUCAGCUUUUGUCAAUAUAUUAUUAUUAAUUUUCUACGAUUUGGCGAUUCCAAGAUAGUUUUCCAUGGAAGAAAAACAUAUCAAAAUGUAUUUUUUUUGAUAGAUCGGAAGAUAAAUCGAAGAAAUUUUGAAUAAAUACCAAGAGCUCACAAACAAGAAAGUGUGAAGUUGCUCAAAAAGAUGGAUUCGGGUCACCUGAUGCAGUAGUUGCGCAGUUGCACCACCGCAUCGCCGAGUUGCUGCUAUGCCCAAGAGAUGUGGAAUUGCCAUUCCUUAUCAAUCUUAAGUUGCUGAGACCAGCAGAAAACAGAAUACUCCCUGUGACAUUGCAACAGCAAGAGAGACACGGGGCAGUACUAGAGUUGGGACAAUCGCCUGAGGAUUGAAGACUUGUAGUCAAGCAGUUUCCCAUUUAGUUGUUUGUUUUGCUCUUUCUUUGAACAAUGCUAUUGCUAGCAUCCCAUGCUUACAAAAAACUAGAGGAAGGAAAAGCAAGAGAGAAAUGUUGAAAGGCCUACCUGAAGUGAUUAUAUCUUGUAUUAUAAUAAUGACAGUGAAAAGAGUACCUACAAGGAAAAAAUACUUGUCACGUGUACAUUGAAUUGUGGAGAAUGACAUAGUGAGAAUACGAAAUUGUACUUGUAGGUGCAGUGACAAGGAAGCUUCCUAGAAUACUCCCAAGUAAAUGCAAUUCUAAUCAUGUGGGGAUCAUUGUCAUUCUCUCUUUAGUGUUAGCCAAUAUCGUCCUUA